rnacentral:rRNA from 1 species
UACAGAGGGUGCAAGCGUUAAUCGGAAUUACUGGGCGUAAAGCGUGCGCAGACGGUUUCGUAAGUCGGGUGUGAAAUCCCCGGGCUCAACCUGGGAAUUGCAUUCGAAACUGCGAGGCUAGGGUACGGAAGAGGGAAGCGGAAUUUCUGGUGUAGCGGUGAAAUGCGUAGAUAUCAGAAGGAACAUCAGUGGCGAAAGCGGCUUCCUGGUCCAGUACCGACGUUCAGGCACGAAAGCGUGGGGAGCAAACAGG